GAUGAAGAACGCAGCGAAAUGCGAUACGUAGUGUGAAUUGCAGAAUUCAGUGAAUCAUCGAAUCUUUGAACGCACAUUGCGCCCGCCAGUAUUCUGGCGGGCAUGCCUGUCCGAGCGUCAUUUCAACCAUCAAGCCCCCGGGCUUGUGUUGGGGACCUGCGGCUGCCCGCAGGCCCUGAAAACCAGUGGCGGGCUCGCUGUCACACCGAGCGUAGUAGCAAUCACCUCGCUCAGGGCGUGCUGCGGGUUCCGGCCGUUAAACAGCCUUACAAAACCCAAGGUUGACCUCGGAUCAGGUAGGAAGACCCGCUGAACUUAAGCAUAUCAAUAAGCGGAGGA
rnacentral:misc_RNA from 1 species